UAGAUAUCAAGAGGAACGCCGGCGGUGAAGACGGUGCACUGGGCUUGUCCUGACGCUGAGACACGAAAGCGUGGGUAGCGAACGGGAUUAGAUACCCCGGUAGUCCACGCCGUAAACGAUGUCUACUAGGUUGUGGAGGUUCUGACACCUGCACGGCCGAAGCAAAAGUGUUAAGUAGACCGCCUGGGGAGUACGGUCGCAAGGCUAAAACUCAAAGGAAUUGACGGGGGCUCACACAAGCGGUGGAGCGUGUGGAUUAAUUCGAAGCAACGCGCAGAACCUUACCUGGGUUUGACAUGCUUGGAUGGCUUCCUGGAAACAGGUUAGUCUGCCCUUCGGGGUGAAACUUGCACAGGUGCUGCAUGGCUGUCGUCAGCUCGUGUCGUGAGAUGUCGGGUUAAGUCCUUUAACGAGCGAAACCCUUGCCGUUAGUUGCCAGCGGGUCAUGCCGGGGACUCUAACGGGACUGCCGGUGUCAAACCGGAGGAACGCUGGGGACGACGUCAAGUCAUCAUGGCCUUUAUGCCCAGGGCCUCACACGUGCUACAAUGGUCGGUACAGAGCGACGCGAGACCGUGAGGUGGAGCAAAUCGCAAAAAACCGGCAUCAGUUCGGAUUGCAGGCUGGCAAUUCGCAUGCAUGAAGUUGGAAUCGCUAGUAAUCGCGUAUCAGCGACACCGCGCUGAAUGUGUUCAUGAGCAUUGUACACACCGCCCGUCAAGUGAUGGAAGUUGGGAGUACCCGAAGUCGG
rnacentral:rRNA from 1 species